AACGAACGCUGGCGGCAGGCUUAACACAUGCAAGUCGAACGCUCUUCUUCGGAAGGGAGUGGCAGACGGGUGAGUAACGCGUGGGAAUCUACCUAGAGGUCUGGGAUAACACAGAGAAAUUUGUGCUAAUACCGGAUACGCCCCAAGGGGGAAAGAUUUAUUGCCUUUAGAUGGGCCCGCGUUGGAUUAGCUAGAUGGUGGGGUAAUGGCCUACCAUGGCGACGAUCCAUAGCUGGUCUGAGAGGAUGAUCAGCCACACUGGAACUGAGACACGGUCCAGACUCCUACGGGAGGCAGCAGUGGGGAAUAUUGGACAAUGGGGGAAACCCUGAUCCAGCCAUGCCGCGUGAGUGAUGAAGGCCUUAGGGUUGUAAAGCUCUUUCGCUGGGGAAGAUAAUGACUGUACCCAGUAAAGAAGCCCCGGCUAACUUCG
rnacentral:rRNA from 2 species